UCUCCAGUCGUAGAGUUUGAUCUUGGCUCAGGAUGAACGCUAGCGCGAGGCCUAACACAUGCAAGCCGAGCGGUAGAGUCCCUUCGGGGGCUUGAGAGCGGCGUACGGGUGCGGAACACGUGUGCAACCUACCUUUAUCUGGGGAAUAGCCUUUCGAAAGGAUGACUAAUACCCCAUAAUAUAUAGAAUGGCAUCAAUCGAUAUUGAAAACUCCGGUGGAUAGAGAUGGGCACGCGCAAGAUUAGCUAGUUGGUGAGGUAACGGCUCACAAAGGCAAUGAUCUUCAGGGGGCCUGAGAGGGUGAUCCCCCACACUGGUACUGAGACACGUACCAGACUCCUACGGGAGGCAGCAGUGAGGAAUAUUGGACAAUGGGUGCAAGCCUGAUCCAGCCUUCCCGCGUGAAGGACGACGGCCCUAUGGUUGGUAAACUUCUUUUGUACAGGGAUAAACCUACCCUCGUGAGGGUAGCUGAAGGUACUGUACGAAUAAGCACCGGCUAACUCCGUGCCAGCAGCCGCGGUAAUACGGAGAGUGCAAGCGUUAUCCGGAUUUAUUGGGUUUACAGGGUCCGUAGGCGCGCUUAUAAGUCAGUGGUAAAUCCUAUCGCUUAACGAUAAACUGC
rnacentral:rRNA from 1 species